CUGCAGCCCGAGUGGUGAUCGAUCUUAUUGAGCCUAAAGCGUCCGUAGCCGGACUAGUAAACCCUUGGGUAAAUUGGGCAGCUUAACUGUCCAAAUUCCGAGGGGACUGCUAGUCUUGGGACCGGGAGAGGUCAGAGGUACUCAAGGGGUAGGGGCUAAAUCCUGUAAUCCUUUGGGGACCACCAGUGGCGAAGGCGUCUGACUAGAACGGAUCCGACGGUAAGGGACGAAACCCUGGGGCGCGAACCGGAUUAGAUACCCGAGUAGUCC
rnacentral:rRNA from 1 species